rnacentral:tRNA from 1 species
AAUAAGUUGGCAGAUUAGUGCAAUUGUUUUAGGUUCAAUAUAUGAAUAUAUUCACUUAUU